UGGGGAAUAUUGCACAAUGGGGGAAACCCUGAUGCAGCCAUGCCGCGUGUGUGAAGAAGGCCUUCGGGUUGUAAAGCACUUUCAGCGAGGAGGAAAGGUUGAUGCCUAAUACGUAUCAACUGUGACGUUACUCGCAGAAGAAGCACCGGCUAACUCCGUGCCAGCAGCCGCGGUAAUACGGAGGGUGCAAGCGUUAAUCGGAAUUACUGGGCGUAAAGCGCACGCAGGCGGUUGGAUAAGUGAGAUGUGAAAGCCCCGGGCUCAACCUGGGAAGUGCAUUUAAAACUGUCCAGCUAGAGUCUUGUAGAGGGGGGUAGAAUUCCAGGUGUAGCGGUGAAAUGCGUAGAGAUCUGGAGGAAUACCGGUGGCGAAGGCGGCCCCCUGGACAAAGACUGACGCUCAGGUGCGAAAGCGUGGGGAGCAAACA
rnacentral:rRNA from 1 species